GACGAACGCUGGCGGCGUGCUUAACACAUGCAAGUCGAACGGAAAGGCCCUGCUUUUGUGGUGUUCUCGAGUGGCGAACGGGUGAGUAACACGUGAGUAACCUGCCCUUGACUUUGGGGUAACUUCAGGAAACUGGGGCUAAUACCGGAUAGGAUCUCCUGCUGCAUGGUGGGGGUUGGAAAGUUUCGGCGGUUGGGGAUGGACUGGCGGCUUAUGAGCUUGUUGGUGGGGGAGUGGCUUACCAAGGGUUGGAAGGGUCGGCGGCCUGAGAGGGGGAACGGGCACAUGGGGACUGAGAGAGGGCGCAGACGCCUACGGGAGGCAGCAGUGGGGAAUCUUGCACAAUGGGAGGAAGCCUGAUGCAGCAACGCCGCGUGCGGGAUGACGGCCUUUGGGGUGUAAACCGCUUUCGCCUGUGACGAAGCGUGAGUGACGGUAAUGGGUAAAGAAGCACCGGCUAACUACGUG
rnacentral:rRNA from 1 species